CUCAGCCCGUCCGUUCCCCCGCUCACCCUUCAGCCACCGCCGCGCUCCUGACCCUGCGUCCCCAGCGGCCUCCCAGCCCAGAGCCCGUUCUGAUCUCACCUCACCUGCGCACCGUCCCUCCUUCCUGUCUCUCUCUGCCUCGCGUCCCCGAAAUCCUUCGCCCCCGUGCGGCUCAGUCCCCGUGAACUUCCGUGGGGCGCCGUGAGCUCUGUUCCUGCCGAGAGCCUGGUUUCCACGGCUUUCCGUUAUUAGGGUCUGGGCCCCUCGGGCGCCCCUGGGAGCUCAGCCGUGGUUGCUUUAGGAAUCGAGAGCGCCUCCCGGCCCCACCUGAGACCCCACACUGCCGUGCCGCCCUGCCACCUCCGGCCGCCUGGACACCCCCAGGGCUCCUCCCAGCUACCUCGCCAGCCAGUCAGGAGGCUCUGGGAGCCAUGGCUCCUUCUGCCCCAUCUGUCCCUCCGAAGUGUGGUUCUGGGGACACCUGGAGGCCCCGCGAAUCUCCCAUGUGGGCAACAUCACGCUGCUCCUAGCCGACCUGAAACAGGAUCCCUGCUGAGGCCUCGAACCUGAGUCACACACGGCUCUUUCAGGAGCCCCAAGGGCCACACUGAAAAGCAGAGGCGCUGGCACCGCCCGCUGGGUCCCCCUUUAUUUUGUGGUGGGAGAGAGGCGGAGGGAGGGGGGAUGAUAGCUUCCAUAGCAGGACACGUGUGAGGCAGCUCCUGCCUGCUGCUCCUCCGUUCCCUGGCUCCGUCCUGACAACGGCAGGGCUGGGAUGGAGAGGACUCAAGAAGGAUGUGCAUGCAGAGCUCUGAGAAGGGUCCUGCUGAUGGGCCAUGUGCCGAGGGCCUAGGGCAUUCCACCCUGGGGCAUGCUGGGAGUUUGGGCCCCCUGGGGUAAGUCUUCACAGGCUUUAUGGCCCUGUCAUCCAGGAGGGUGCUUCCUCUCCACACACCAUCUGAAAUCUGCAGCCUUUGACAGAGCAGGGGAGCCUGCCACGUGGAGAGUGCUUGGCAGUCUGCUGAUUCAAACGGAUGUUGACUUGAAAGAUAUCUUCACCAUGACAUCUGCACUAGUGUUGGACCACACAGCUGGUCACCAGUGGCCCAGCCAAGUCAACGCAUAAACGUCACCAUCUAAUCAGUCACCAUUAAAUCAAGUGCACCGCCUGCAGGACUGCCGAGCCGAGCCAUGGGCAGAGUGCAGUGAGCAGGGGGAGCUUGGGGAAGAGAGGUGAUGCCAGAGGAGAGGGAGAAGGGAGCAGGGGGGAGGAGGGGGGUCCGUCAGUGUGUACUAGAGAAACAGACAUGCACAAGGUGGACAAAUACAUAUUUUACCAGACUGGCUUACCAUGGCCGCCCAGAGUCGGAUGGGGAAGAGGGCAGAGGGGCUGUCUGUGCACCUAAGGAUUCAGUGGAAGGUGUGGAGCUCCUUGCAGGGAGGGUCCUGUGCGAGUCCAUAUCAGGUGGCCCGUGGGUCUGUGGUGGAGGCUGAGGAGUCUAUGCCGGAAGCUGAAGGAGCUGCACCGGAAGCCGAAGUCUGCGCUGGAAGCCAGGAGAUGACGUCCAAGGUGAAGGCAAAGACUGCAGCGCCUCUGAAGACCAGAAACAGGUCUGUCCUUCCUCAUCUCCCCUUUAUGCCAUCCAGGCAAGGAGCGGCCCUAGGGCGUGGAAUUGCUCAGCCGAUUUAGUUGAGCUUCUCCUAAUGAAACUUCUCAAAUUGACACAAUCAAUCAACCAUCACAGAUGGGGUGGGGCGGGGAGCAUCCCGCCAGGCCUACUGUGGUGGUGGCAGGGGUGCUUGGGCCUCUGUCCUGUGUCCCUUGCCCCGUCUUUGAUGUGGGCCACUGAAGGAGCCUGGCUGGCUGUGGAGUACGGCCCUGCCCUGGGCUGGGGGAUCCAUGCGGCCUCCACAGUGGCCCAGGGCUCUUGGGCCUGGAGGCUCCAGAAUCCCGAGCCCAGGUGAAGGGUGAGGGUGCAAGGUGGGGUGGAGCUUGUCUCCUGCAAAACUCGGGACGCCUGGGGCCUCUGGGGCGGAUCAGGUCUUUCUUGUGGGACCAGAUUAGUGCCCACCGGGUGGGCUGUCAUGAAGGUAGGGUGCCAUCCGGGGAAGGGGUGUGCCCCUCGCGACACAUACCCUCUUGUCCUUCUGCUUUCUGCCUGGCAUCGGACUUUUCGGCUUCCAAAAUUGUCAGCCGAAGUAAACAUCUCUUCUCUGUGAACUCUCAGCCUCAGACAGAGACUGCAGGCCGCUCAGUACCUUCACAGCCAGGCCUUGCUUUCCCUUUGCAAAGGGGCUCAGGGCCCUGCGCCGUAGAGGAACACGCUGCGUCUUUCUGGGGCAGCACUCACCCGACGCAUACCCCUGCUGUGGCUGAGUGGGCACCGUGGGCGUGGCCUUUGGGGUGACAGCUCCCUGCUGGGGCCGUGUGGAUGGAUUCAGGCGCGCACCUAGUGUGGGCAGGCCAGGCCAGGCCUCGACUCCAAUGUCCCGGGCCCAGGCGAGCACCAAUCUUGGGGCGCAGGUGAGAGGGCGGGUUGUGGAGGGCUGACCCUGAUGGAAGGACGCCCACCUUCUGGAAACUUCUGAGCUUUGUGACGACCCCUGACACCCCCAGAGAAGAAACCCUGGCUCCUCUCCGACCCCGCUUCGCCAUCUCUGGUAAAUAGAGCGGAAGUCUGCUAUAAAAGAGAAACUCAGCUAAGUGCCCUGGAGCGAAAGAGAACACAGAGCUGCUAUCCCAUAGGCCAGCGCUGGCGAACCUACGGCCCAGGGGCCACAGCUGGCUGUUAUCACUGACAGCACUAAAAGCUUUGCCCUCACUGCCAGAGACAGACGGAGUAUCAUCUUUAAAAUGAUUUUGUAGUCCAUGUUCGCAGUAUGUGAUGGUUGCCUUCCUCACAGGGAGCUGGUGCAUGUGCAACACAUGGCUUCGUUCUUUUUGUGUUCUCUCCCUCCCUCCCUCUUGGUCCCAUUUGCUCUGCCCCACGGUCAGGAGAAUGCUCCUGCACCUACCCCACGCCCUUCCUGGAAGCCCAGAGAGACCAGAAUGGUUUCCCGUGUCAGUUCCACCCCCCAGUCCAGUAACUGGGGUCACAGCUGGGAUCACUGGUGGAAACAUCUAUUGUUUCUGUAGUUGUUUGUCUUGCGAUGUGGCACAUUCUAAAUUCAUGAUGAAGAGAAAAAAACAAAAUACAAACCCAUCCCAACCAAACCAAUGCUGAGUUAGGAGACCUGGUUGGUGUCCUGCUUCUGCUGGGAGGACCUCAGAAGUUACGGUCAUUUCUAAGCCCGGGCCUCCUCAUCCAACAAGGGGUGACCAAUUCUUGCAUCACCAGGGUGCUGUGGGACUCAGAGUCGCUAGGCCCAGUGCCAACCCUGGGAUGCAGAGCUUUCCUGUCCACUCACGAAUGCUUGGUUCCCCUCCACCAUCCAGGUACCACAUUAUUUCAGCACUGGCACCAGCUUAGAAGGUUAUGUUCAGAGGGACAGAGAAUACUCCAGACGGGUGGUACAGAGAGCUCUACACAGCUGUGUUCUGACAGACUGUUGUUGAUUUGUCAAGAUUCUUAAUGGCAGAAUCCUUUUCCUUUGCUUCUGUCUUUUCUACUGGACUUUUUUUUUUUUUUUUGGUUUUUUGAGACGGUCUCACUCUGUAAUUCAGGGUGGUCUUGAACUCAGUGUAUUCCAAACUAGGCUUGGACUCAGUAGUGAUCCUCCUGCCUCAGCCUCCUGAGUGCUAAGAUUAUAGGCGUGUGCCCAUGCCUGGCCCCUUCUGUUGGAAUUUGAUCAAUGUCUGAAGAAGUUAUCCAUCUCUAUCAGAUGAAUAACACACGUCAUGGGCAAGGAUGAUAAUUCUUCCCAGACAGUAGUGAGCUAAGCCUGGCUUGUACCAGCUUCUGGGGAAUGAUUGUUGAUAUUUAAGAAUUUUGUCACCUGGUUAAACGAUUGAUGACUUUGAAACCAGCCAUGGAAGGGCUAUUUGCACCAUGGAUCUGGCCAGUGCUACAAAUUGGGCAUUUGUUUUUCUUUCCAGAGAGUUGGUUUACCAGCAUCCCAUUGCUUAAGGUGAGAAAAACCCACUGUCAUUUAUUUCUGGAGAAAAAUAAGAGGAAACAACUUGCCCCCGUCUUGGGCAAAGCCUAUGAUUAACUAUGCUUUUCUGGUUCCUGGAAUAUUUUUUUUCUCAAGAAAGAAUAAUCAUAAUAAAAAACUCUGGGUUAAGGACAGGAACCUGGAAAUAAUGUAAUGUUUGCGGGCAAUGCUCAGGUGGUAAAGACGACCUGACCUUCUUACUCUUGGAAGUGGGGCUGGAAAUUUGGCUGAGAAAAUAGAAAACAUUUAGACACCACCUGUGUCCACCCACGGGUCCCCUGCCGGGAUUGUGUGCACUCACGUGCCUUAAAGAAGGGGUGGGGCAGGGAGGGAAAUGCAGUGCCCACGUGCACUCGAGCUGGUCUUUUGCAAAAAGAGCUUGCCAUGGGGGAGACGAUAAAAUCCCUCACCUGGGCGGCUUGGCG
rnacentral:lncRNA from 1 species